UGGCGGCACUAGCGCGGUGGUCCCACCUGACCCCAUGCCGAACUCAGAAGUGAAACGCCGUAGCGCCGAUGGUAGUGUGGGGUCUCCCCAUGUGAGAGUAGGGAACUGCCAGGCU
rnacentral:rRNA from 2 species